UCAGCAGUCCAAAAUAUUAGUCAAUGCUCGAAAGAGUGAACUAGCUAACUGAAAUCAAUUAAAAAAUUGAUAACAUAAGGGAAAAUAAUGAUAUUACCUUAUUAUUAGUGUCGUCCAAAACUCGGUGCCAGAAGACUCGGUAAGGCCAGAGACAUAAACGUUAAUCGUCUUAAUCAGGCGUAAAGGGUUUGUAGGCGGCUUUUAAUUUUAUUUAUUUAUUUUUGUUUUUUUUGUAUAAAAAUUUAUAAGUACAGAAUAAAAGCUAGAAUCAAAUAGAGGAUAUAUCAAAUAAUGCUUAGAGUAGGUCUGAUAUCCUUAGAUACUAAGUAGAAUAUUAAAGGCGAAGGCUUUUUUCCAUUAAUGAUUGACGCUCAGAAACGAAGGUGAGGAUAGGAAAUAGGAUUAGAUACCCAAAAUACCCCUCUCUGUCAACGAUGAAUGGUAGUUAUUAGUAAUAAAUUAAUUAAUGACAAUGUUAACACGAUAACCAUUCCGCCUUGUGAGUACAACUGCAAAGUUGAAAACAAAAAAAUUAGUCGGUUUCGGAGCAAACGAAGUGAAGCAUGUUAUUUAAUUCAAUAAUCCCGCAA
rnacentral:rRNA from 1 species